AUGUGCCACCAGCUGCUGCUUAUUCUCCUUCUCUCGGCUACCACCUCCCAUGGCGAUUCAUCUGAUGACACCUACUAUGACACCUCCAUGUGCCUCAAUCAACCUUCCACCUGCGGGAACGUGAGUAUCAGCUACCCGUUCUAUCUCUCGAGAGAGACAAAAGAUCUCAAGGGCAACGCCGAUUCGUACUGCGGAUAUCCUGGCCUGGGAAUCCUCUGCGACGACGACAAGCCCGUCCUGCAGCUUAACGGCACUGCCAACUACACGGUGAAGAGCAUCGAGCGCGCGCUUGCAUGGGUCUCUCUAGCCGACGACGGCAGCCCCUGCCCGAGGCCAAGGGUCGACCGCAACGUGACUUUGCAACAGGGAUCAUGGCUCUACUUUUCUGACCGCACGGUGGAAUACAUCGUCUUCUUCAUCAACUGCAACUUCAACUCUAGUACCUUCUACCAACCGAUUAACAUCAACCCGAUCAGCUGCCGAAGCUUUGACGCUGGUCCUGGAUCCUCGUUCGUACUUCCCGAUGAUGGAGUACCCUCCGGCGACUGGCCGCAAGCGUGCAACCAAGUAAUACAAUUGCCUGUGCACAAAGAGCCGAUCAACUAUGCUGAUCCUGGAUGGACAAACACUGGAUAUGCCAAACUUCUUCGUCAGCAAUUCCAGUUGGGAUGGAACGACAGCGGAAAGCCACAGGCAUGUAUCAAGUGCGAGGGAUCCAAGGGAGGCUGCGGUCACAACCCCACUGGGGAUUUCAUCGGCUGCUUGUGCCAGGACGGCCGAAUACACUCGGCUUAUUGUGAUAGCACCGAAGAUGCGUCUCGCUCGAAGCACAAAUUAUUAGUAGCCGUGCUCACGUCUGUUGGUUGCAUCAUGUUCCUACUGUCUCUCUGCAUGGCGGUUUGCAUCCUGUUCUGCCGCCGCCGAAGGCAGAAUACCAUGAAGAAAACCAAACGAACGCUGAAAGCGGUGACAACACUCUUUCGUGGUGAACUUGUCGACCAGGAGCUUGACCUAGGGGUCGCCGGGCCCCGGCGAUUUUCAUACAACGAGCUUGCUGCUGUGACCGAUAAUUUCUCUGACGACAGAGCGCUCGGGAGAGGAGGCUUUGGGUCUGUGUACCGUGGGUUUAUGAGCGACAUGAACCGUGAAGUAGCUAUCAAGAGGGUGUCUGAGACCUCUCGACAGGGCUGGAAGGAGUUUGUGUCCGAGGUACGAAUCAUUAGUCGUCUGAGGCACCGGAACCUUGUGCAGCUCAUCGGCUGGUGCCACGGCGGUGACCAGCUCCUCCUGGUCUACGACCUGAUGCACAAUGGCAGCCUCGACACUCAUUUGUACGGGUCCGACUUCAUGCUCACAUGGGCCAUUAGGUAUGAGAUAGUGCUUGGAGUAGGUUCGGCACUUCUAUACUUGCAUCAAGACAUGGAGCAGCGGGUGGUGCACAGGGACAUCAAGCCGAGCAACAUCAUGCUAGAUUCAUCCUUCACUGCCAAGCUAGGCGAUUUUGGGCUUGCAAGGCUCAUCAGCGAUGGUAGGAGAUCGCACACGACCGGAAUAGCCGGCACGAUGGGGUACAUAGACCCGGAGAGCGUGCUGGCGGGCAGGGCGAGUGUUGAGUCGGACGUGUAUAGCUUCGGGGUUGUCCUCCUCGAGGUCGCCUCAGGGAAGCGGCCAGCUCAAGUCCAGGAAGACGGCGAUGUCAUCCACCUGGUUCAAUGGGUGUGGGACUUGUAUGGUACAGGAUCAAUACUUGAUGCCGCUGACGAACGACUUAGGGGGGAGUUCACCGGUGGGGAGAUGGAGCGUGUAAUGGUCGUGGGGCUCUGGUGUGGGCACCCUGACCGUGGCAUGCGGCCAUCCAUCAGGCAAGCGAUGAACGUGCUUCGGUUUGAAGCGCCAUUGCCCAGCCUCCCAGCUAGGAUGCCGGUGGCGACCUAUGGGCCACCGACUAAUACUCUGAGUUCUGGAACGUUGGUCCUGAGCAGUGUUAGUGGCCGAUGA
rnacentral:rRNA from 1 species